rnacentral:rRNA from 1 species
CCUACGGGCGGCAGCAGUGGGGAAUAUUGCGCAAUGGAGGGAACUCUGACGCAGCAACGCCGCGUGAAAGAAGAAGGCUUUCGGGUUGUAAACUUCUUUGAUCGGGGACGAAGAUGACGGUACCCGAGGAACAAGCCACGGCUAGCUACGUGCCAGCAGCCGCGGUAAUACGUAGGUGGCAAGCGUUGUCCGGAAUUACUGGGUGUAAAGGGCGUGUAGGCGGGAGGACAAGUCAGAUGUGAAAGCCCAUGGCUUAACUGUGGAAUUGCAUCUGAAACUGUUUUUCUUGAGUGCUGGAGAGGAAAGCGGAAUUCCUAGUGUAGCGGUGAAAUGCGUAGAGAUUAGGAGGAACACCAGUGGCGAAGGCGGCUACCUGGACGAUAACUGACGCUGAGGCACGAAAGCUAGGGGAGCAAACAGGAUUAGAUACCCUAGUAGUC